AUUGAACGCUGGCGGCAGGCCUAACACAUGCAAGUCGAGCGGAUGAAGGGAGAUUGCGCCUGGAUUCAGCGGCGGACGGGUGAGUAAUGCCUAGGAAUCUGCCUGGUAGUGGGGGAUAACGUCCGGAAACGGGCGCUAAUACCGCAUACGUCCUGAGGGAGAAAGUGGGGGAUCUUCGGACCUCACGCUAUCAGAUGAGCCUAGGUCGGAUUAGCUAGUUGGUGGGGUAAAGGCCUACCAAGGCGACGAUCCGUAACUGGUCUGAGAGGAUGAUCAGCCACACUGGAACUGAGACACGGUCCAGACUCCUACGGGAGGCAGCAGUGGGGAAUAUUCGACAAUGGGCGAAAGCCUGAUCCAGCCAUGCCGCGUGUGUGAAGAAGGUCUUCGGAUUGUAAAGCACUUUUAGUUGGGAGGAAGGGCAGUAAGUUAAUACCUUCCUGUUUUGACGUUACCAACAGAAUAAGCCCCGGCUAACUUCGUG
rnacentral:rRNA from 1 species